rnacentral:rRNA from 1 species
AUGCAGAUACAUGAACAUGACAAGAUUAAACCUAACAUUCACCUCCCUAAUCUUGACAUGUCAACUCUUCUACUCUUGAUGCAGAUCACCUGCAAUGUCUUGCCAGGGACGAUGCCAUCACACGGCCGAUCUCCACUCCAUCUCGCCGUGGACGCCGUCGCAGCACCGAUACGCACCUUGUCGUGGACGCGCCAUCGCAGUGCCGAACUCGACAUCACCAUCAUGGCUUCAACCACGCCUUCGCAGCAGCGGUCACCAAGCCAUCUUGCCGCAGCAUCACGCUGCAAUCUUGUUGGCUUCACACCAACUCUUCAUGAUGGCGAUGGCAUCGCACCACCGCCAUCGGCAUCACACCGACUCGAGUGA